UACGUAGGGGGCGAGCGUUAUCCGGAUUUACUGGGCGUAAAGCGGGCGUAGGUGGCUCGUCAAGUCAGAUGUGAAAUCUCCCGGCUCAACUGGGAGGGUGCAUUUGAAACUGAUGGGCUAGAGUGCAGCAGAGGGAGAUGGAAUUCCCGGUGUAGUGGUGAAAUGCGUAGAUAUCGGGAGGAACACUAGUGGCGAAGGCGGUCUCCUGGGAUGUAACUGACACUGAGGUCCGAAGGCGUGGGGAGCAAACAGG
rnacentral:rRNA from 1 species